AUGGCAAGAUGCACAAUUGGAGAUGGCAAAUCUGCUCUGUUUUGAUCUGACCUAUGGCACUCUGCCUGUCUGAAUCAAUUCUUUCCUCAUCUAUACUCCUUUGUAAAAGAUCAGAACCUCUCUGUGCAGAGGGUGCUUCAGUAUGAUUACUUGGAAGACUUAUUUCACCUGCCACUGACUCAAGAAGCCUUCUUGGAAUUUGAGAUGAUGGAGGAGAUUUGUGAUACCUCAAGAGGAUCUAAUUUUAGAGAGCACUUGGACUCAUGGAGUUAUAUGUGGGGAAACAAUACUUUUUCUGUGGCCAGAGCUUACAAAUUUUUGAUAGGAGUCAAAAUUGUUCCUCCACAGUUCAGUUGGAUUUGGAAGAGUUCUUGCCAGCCUAAGCACAAGGUAUUCUUCUGGAGACUUCUGCACGAUAGGCUAAACACAAGGAACCUUCUUAGGAGGAAAACUUUUCAUCUAGAAAACUAUAAUUGUGCUACCCUAAGUUGUCUGCAAGAAGAAACUCUGCAGCACCUGUUUUGGACUUGCCCUUUUGCAUCUUCUUGUUGGGAUACCCUAUGUCCCAACAGACAAAGAAAUCUCACCAUCAUGGAAGCUAUUCCAGACCUAAGAGGUAAUCUACAACAACCUUUCUCUAUGGAGAUCAUUAUGAUUGCAUCAUGGGCAAUUUGGAUCAUCAGGAAUGAUAAGAUAUUCAACAACAUCCCUACCAGCAUUGACAGAUGGAAAUUCAUCUUCCUCUCAGAGAUCAAACUGCUCAAAUUCAGAAUUUAG
rnacentral:rRNA from 1 species